GGAGUUAGCCGGUGCUUCUUCUGUGAGUGAUGUCCUUCCUGCCGGUUAUUGACCCGCAGGCCUUCUUCCUCACUGAAAGUGCUUUACAACCCGAAGGCCUUCUUCACACACGCGGAAUGGCUGGAUCAGGGUUGCCCCCAUUGUCCAAUAUUCCCCACUGCUGCCUCCCGUAGGAGUCUGGGCCGUGUCUCAGUCCCAGUGUGGCUGAUCAUCCUCUCAGACCAGCUACGGAUCGUCGCCUUGGUGAGCCGUUACCUCACCAACCAGCUAAUCCGACAUAGGCUCAUCCGAUAGCGCGAGGCCCGAAGGUCCCCCGCUUUCCCCCGUAGGGCGUAUGCGGUAUUAGCCUGGGUUUCCCCAGGUUAUCCCCCACUACCGGGCAGAUUCCUAUGCAUUACUCACCCGUCCGCCGCUCGCCACCAGGGAGCAAGCUCCCCGUGCUGCCGCUCGACUUGCAUGUGUUAGGCCUGCCGCCAGCGUUCAAUCUGAGCCAGAAUCAAACUCUGA
rnacentral:rRNA from 1 species